AUUGGCCUUAGUUUUGCAUUCAAGGCUAGAGCCUUAUUCUCUCGUCUCUAGGAUUUCUUCUAGUUCUUUGCAGUGUGUUGAGUGAAUAACUUUAAAAAUUGCCGCUUGGAAAAGAAAUUGCUUGAAAUGUGAUAUGACACUAUAUAAGUGCUGAUGUGUAGAUGAUGAAUACACUGUCUUCCUCUAUUAUGGGCUAUGACUAUCAUGGUGUGUAAUGUUGUAUCCUUCUUUUUCCAAAUUCCUCAUUUCUUUGGCCCAGCUAGUGUCUAAUUCAAUUUUUGUUCAUCUUAUACUCAUAAAAAGCCAUACCCACUAGAUCCAGUCAAGUGUCUCCUUUUUCUUCCAAUGAUAUCGCCAGUUGUGGGACAAAAAGAAAACGAUACUAAAGUUAUAAUUAAUUAGUGAAAUAAUGUUUUUAGUGGCAACCUCAUCGUUGCAGUGCAUAUCCAAUUGAAAUUUGUAUUAUA